rnacentral:lncRNA from 12 species
CACAGCUUCAAGCAGAGCCUGAUUAAGUGGAGCUGCGUCGGGUAGAUGCCAAUCGCAGUCUGAUUUUAGCGGCCCAGAGAAGGCCUCUCUGGCAACCUCCAAAACUCAUUUUGCCUGCUUGAUGCUUAAAAUUUCUUGAAACCAACGCUUUCUUUCUAUAAUUACAGAAAAUUCAGUUUGACAAAUUCAACACUGAAAUCAAUAUGAAACACACAAAUAGCUACAUUCUUUACAGAGCGCUGCCAGACGCGGACUCUUCUUUAUCCUCAAACACUCCAAUAAGUUGGAUCAUUGCCCCCAAUUAUGAGGAGGGACCUGUGACUUGGAGAAGUUAAAUGACUUGUCUGAGGGCACACGAAGGUCACAGCAGAAGUGCCUCCUCUGUGAUCUUUCCACUAGAGCAGGCUCUUGCAUUAAAUACCUUACGAGGGAGAAAAAAAUAAAUACCUUACAGGGAGAAGUCCACAAUUGAAGUGCGGGCCGACCUGAGAGCCAGUUUGGAAAGGUGGAGAUGUGAGUGGGUGAGUUGGUUCAGCAGUCUUCCUGGGCCCAGCUCAGCUGGCACCCCGCCUCCCCCCCCCCAAGAUCCCCUCUCCUGCAGUGCUCCCUGCCCUGUUCCUGGCUCCUGGGCUGACCCCACCCGAGGCACCAGCUAACCAUCAGUGAGCUCACACUCCCUCUACACUUGCUGUGUUCAUCUCAUUCCAUGCUCGCAUUCCCUGCUGGGACUUGACCCCCAGUCUCCUUGGCUGAAGUCCUGGAAACUUGCCGCUUCCUUGCCAGUUCUCUUCCCCAGAAAGCUAAGCUCUGUUCCUUCUGCUCCCACCCUCAGCUGAGGUUUUAUUCUCUGGACAAAUCUGCUAGAAUUGAACACUGAUUGAUGCUUAUUCCCUCGGACUCCUGCUAUUGCAGGAAACUGCCAAUUCUUUCAUUCACUGGCCUUAUUUUUUUUGAGCACCUACUACAUAGAAGACACAAUCUGGCGUUGACUUCCCUUGGCUCUCAAGGACUCCUGAAGAUAGAGAUGAGCCUUCUGUUCCCAGUGAUCACGGGGCUCCCAGGUGAAACCAGCCUCAGGAUAAUAAACCAGAAGUACAAAGUUGGUGGAUGAAGAGAAAAUGGCACAUUUGAUGUCAUAUGUUUGAAGAUUGUUAAAACAUUUGAGUCUUCCAAGAAGUCUGAUUUGCAGAAUUGGCUCAGAAUGCCUGGAAUAAAGCACAUACCUGACAAAAAAAAGUUG